GAUGAACGCUAGCUACAGGCUUAACACAUGCAAGUCGAGGGGUAACAAGAGAAAAGCUUGCUUUUCUUGUUGACGACCGGCGCACGGGUGAGUAACGCGUAUCCAACCUGCCUAUAACUAGGGAAUAACCUUGCGAAAGUGAGACUAAUACCCUAUGAUUUCCUUUGAUGACAUCAGAUUAGGAAUAAAGAUUUAUCGGUUAUAGAUGGGGAUGCGUCUGAUUAGCUUGUUGGCGGGGUAACGGACCACCAAGGCAACGAUCAGUAGGGGUUCUGAGAGGAAGGUCCCCCACAUUGGAACUGAGACACGGUCCAAACUCCUACGGGAGGCAGCAGUGAGGAAUAUUGGUCAAUGGGCGGAAGCCUGAACCAGCCAAGUAGCGUGCAGGAUGACGGCCCUAUGGGUUGUAAACUGCUUUUAUACAGGAAUAAAGUUAGCCACGUGUGGUUAUUUGUAGGUACUGUAUGAAUAAGGACCGGCUAAUUCCGUGCCAGCAGCCGCGGUAA
rnacentral:rRNA from 1 species